GGUUAACUUUUAAGGUUUGGUCUGGCACAACUAUAUUUCAACGGAGGUAGGAGACACUCACGAGGCAAGAUCACUUCACAAGGGCUAUUAUAGCAAAGAAAAUCGCUGGGUCUGCAAUUCUGGAUCAAAGGACGGAGAAAAGAUCCAAAUUCGUUGAUGGAGUUAGAGCUUCCCUACAGCAGAGUCUUAGGUAAUUUAUGUUCCGACCAAGAUUUUACUGCAAAACCAAAUUAUGAAUGCUUAAUCUGAGCUAUUUCUCACUCAGUUUCCUCUAGGUCUCUACCAAUUAUUGUUUUUCUUUUGAGGUGGAUGCAGCUGCUGGUCACACUUUAACCACACGUCAAUUGCACGAGUGGUGUGGCGCCAUCCUGUACCACAAAUCAUGCCAAGAAUGAUGGGUGGUGUAAUCCUAUGCUAGCUAUAGUGCUAGACUGAUUUCGGAAACUCUUGGAGCUCAUCUUUUGGCCUGAAACACCAAGAACUAACCUGCCACCGCACUGACUACUGAUUAAUACAAUGGAGUUCAUUUGAUCCAUCUGAUAAAAUACCUAUUGGCGAAUAAGCGUGAAAAGUAAUCACCCACUCUUUCCGCAGUGGAAUUCGGGUAUGCCCGCUCAUCUAUUUAUUUGACUGUUGUUAUAAAUAGGUUCAUCCGGGUCUGAAAUGUUAAUGGAGUUGUUUCAUUCCUCACACAAUCCCUUUCAAUUGGAUCAGUUCUCCUUUUUGAAUCACUCUAUAUUCCAUACAUAUAUGUUUAUUAUGUUAAUCGAGACUUUAGAGCAAGACAUUUAUUUUGUUGAUAUUACCUUCAAGGGAACAUGGUACCUACGAUGCAGGAGGACUAUUGGAAAUCAGUUUUAAAUCUAAUCAAGUGUAUACUUCUCCUUUGUCUCUUCUGCAGCCAUGAUGUUAAGAAGUUCAGUGUAGGCAGGAGAAAAAAAUCUUGAGGAGUAUGUUCAUAUGGUCAAGGAUGGUAUCAUCGACCCUGUGAAAGUGAUCCAAACUACACUUCAAAAUGCAGCAAGAACAAGUACUCUGAUGAUGGCAAGAAGCAUAAUGUUAAAUGAACUGGGUAAUGUUGAGGUUGAUGAUAGCUUGCUUGUGUAAGUUUUUAUAAGUUGUACAAAGCCAUGAAAC